rnacentral:rRNA from 1 species
GUGAGGAAUCUUGCGCAAUGGGGGCAACCCUGACGCAGCGACGCCGCGUGCGGGAAGAAGGCUUUCGGGUCGUAAACCGCUUUUCUGGAGGACGAGGCAGGACGGUACUCCAGGAAUAAGUCCCGGCUAACUACGUGCCAGCAGCCGCGGUAAAACGUAGGGGGCGAGCGUUAUCCGGAAUCACUGGGCGUAAAGGGCGUCUAGGCGGCAGGCUAAGUCUUGCGUGAAAGCUCCCGGCUCAACUGGGAGAGCGCGUGGGAGACUGGUGUGCUAGAGACUCGGAGAGGGGUGUGGAAUUCCCGGUGGAGUGGUGAAAUGCGUUGAGAUCGGGAGGAACACCAGUGGCGAAAGCGGCACCCUGGCCGAGGACUGACGCUGAAGCGCGACAGCGUGGGGAGCAAACGGGAUUAGAAACCCCAGUAGUCC